AAUCUGAGGAGAUGUCAAAAGUCAUUCUUGCAACAAACAAAAUUGAUCCUGCUUUGCUAAAGCCUGGACGAAUAGGUUGGGAGAUCGAGUUCCCUCUUCCUGUCACCAAAACAAGGAGACGCAUUUACCAGAACACAGAUCCACACUUCAUGCAUGCCAUUGGCCUAUGAUGUGAACCUAGAAUAGUUUGUGAAGAUUAAGGAUGAAUUCUCUGGAGCUGAUAUCAAGGUUAUGUUUACUGAGGCCGGUUUGCUUUCUUUAGAGGAACACCAUAUGAAGGAAAUUUCUUUGUUCUUACUUGUAUCAUACUACAUUUUCUAGAAUAAUGCACCGAUUGCUGCUGUUUGUUCCCUAUUUUUGUAUAUUGGAUGGUACCAGGUAUGAAAGACUUUGUGUUCAUUGAUGCACGAUAUUUUGGCUAUACUAAAUUCAGAGGAGAGUAUAAAUUUCUAUUGUUUCUCCUAGUGAUAUUUGGGCUGUUGAUCAGUUUUUACAA